rnacentral:rRNA from 1 species
UCGAGAAUCUUUCACAAUGGGCGAAAGCCUGAUGGAGCGACGCCGCGUGGAGGAUGAAGGCCUUCGGGUUGUAAACUCCUGUCAUGAGGGAACAAGAAAGUGAUAGUACCUCAAGAGGAAGAGACGGCUAACUCUGUGCCAGCAGCCGCGGUAAUACAGAGGUCUCAAGCGUUGUUCGGAUUUACUGGGCGUAAAGGGUGCGUAGGCGGUGGCGUAAGUCGAGUGUGAAAUCUUCCGGCCUAACCGGAAAACUGCACUCGAUACUGCGUCACUAGAGGACUGUAGAGGAGACUGGAAUUCACGGUGUAGCAGUGAAAUGCGUAGAUAUCGUGAGGAAGACCGGUGGCGAAAGCGAGUCUCUGGGCAGUUCCUGACGCUGAGGCACGAAGGCUAGGGGAGCAAACGGGAUUAGAUACCCUAGUAGUCCCUGAGCGGGCUGGCAAGGCGCAU